CAGGCUUAACGCAUGCAAGUCGAGGGGCAUCAGGAAGAAAGCUUGCUUUCUUUGCUGGCGACCGGCGCACGGGUGAGUAACACGUAUCCAACCUGCCCUUUACUCGGGGAUAGCCUUUCGAAAGAAAGAUUAAUACCCGAUGGCAUAAUGAUUCCGCAUGGUUUCAUUAUUAAAGGAUUCCGGUAAAGGAUGGGGAUGCGUUCCAUUAGGUUGUUGGUGAGGUAACGGCCCACCAAGCCUUCGAUGGAUAGGGGUUCUGAGAGGAAGGUCCCCCACAUUGGAACUGAGACACGGUCCAAACUCCUACGGGAGGCAGCAGUGAGGAAUAUUGGUCACUGGGCGGUAGCCUGAACCAGCCAAGUAGCGUGAAGGAUGAAGGCUCUAUGGGUCGUAAACUUCUUUUAUAUAAGAAUAAAGUGCAGUAUGUAUACUGUUUUGUAUGUAUUAUAUGAAUAAGGAUCGGCUAACUCCGUGCCAGCAGCCGCGGUAAUACGGAGGAUCCGAGCGUUAUCCGGAUUUAUUGGGUUUAAAGGGAGCGUAGGUGGACUGGUAAGUCAGUUGUGAAAGUUUGCGGCUCAACCGUAAAAUUGCAGUUGAUACUGUCAGUCUUGAGUACAGUAGAGGUGGGCGGAAUUCGUGGUGUAGCGGUGAAAUGCUUAGAUAUCACGAAGAACUCCGAUUGCGAAGGCGGCUCACUGGACUGCAACUGACACUGAUGCUCGAAAGUGUGGGUAUCAAACAGGAUUAGAUACCCUGGUAGUCCACACAGUAAACGAUGAAUACUCGCUGUUUGCGAUAUACAGUAAGCGGCCAAGCGAAAGCAUUAAGUAUUCCACCUGGGGAGUACGCCGGCAACGGUGAAACUCAAAGGAAUUGACGGGGGCCCGCACAAGCGGAGGAACAUGUGGUUUAAUUCGAUGAUACGCGAGGAACCUUACCCGGGCUUAAAUUGCAGUGGAAUGAUGUGGAAACAUGUCAGUGAGCAAUCACCGCUGUGAAGGUGCUGCAUGGUUGUCGUCAGCUCGUGCCGUGAGGUGUCGGCUUAAGUGCCAUAACGAGCGCAACCCUUAUCUUCAGUUACUAACAGGUCAUGCUGAGGACUCUGGAGAGACUGCCGUCGUAAGAUGUGAGGAAGGUGGGGAUGACGUCAAAUCAGCACGGCCCUUACGUCCGGGGCUACACACGUGUUACAAUGGGGGGUACAGAAGGCAGCUAGCGGGUGACCGUAUGCUAAUCCCAAAAGCCUCUCUCAGUUCGGAUCGAAGUCUGCAACCCGACUUCGUGAAGCUGGAUUCGCUAGUAAUCGCGCAUCAGCCACGGCGCGGUGAAUACGUUCCCGGGCCUUGUACACACCGCCCGUCAAGCCAUGGGAGCCGGGGGUACCUGAAGUACGUAACCGCAAGGAUCGUCCUAGGGUAAAACUGGUGACUGGGGCUAAGUC
rnacentral:rRNA from 1 species